CCGGAUUUAAACCAAAACAUGGCAUUCCCGCAGCGUUCAGCGCUCUAGCCGGAACUCAUUGUUUUCAAUGGAGAAAUCUGUUCCCCAGGGAUGUUCCAGUGCCAAUGAAAUCAUGUGGAUGGCUGAAAAUGCAGGACUUCUGCACAGCAGCGUGGUGACACAAAUGGAAAGGGAGGGGGACAGUCACACGAAGAAACAGAAGCCAACAGAAAAGGCAUGCCACCUGGACACUGACAGAGUGACAUGGAGAGACUGCUGCCAAUGGGAGACUGUGGGUGGGGGCAUGUGGUGAUGGAUGUAUGGCAAGAGAGGACAGAGUGUGAAAAUAACAAAAAUGAAUGUUAAUAACCGGACAGUGAGACUGCAAUCUGAAUUCAAACAAAAAAUGCGUUCAAUGGAUUCUGUGGAUGUCAUUGUGACUUAAAAGUAAAGCUGAUUGCCCUUCCCUGGUUUCAAGAUCAUCCCUGAGGAACAGAUCCAGUUUGGUGAAGGGGCCAAGAUAUAUGCACUGGCCGGAUUACAUCAUAAAUAGACAAACACUCCCACUGCAGCACCAUGCCCCCCUUUCCCGAGAUCCCAGAUGAUCAUGAGUGCCCUUGACAGGCUCAUCCAAUCAUAGCUGGUGGGAUAACCAAUGACCCAUUUCUACAUUUUCUUAAUUUGCUGAGCAGAUGUUUACCCAGAGUAAUUAAAAGUUCAUUAUCUUUUUGCAUGUGUUGCCAUCUGCAUAUCUGUAUAUUUUACGGAAAGCAAUUCAGGUUCAGCACAAAGUUCAAGGUAGCAGCGCGCUGACAAGAACUUUGAACCCGAAAUCUUUGGGUUUUGAGUCUGGUUCCUGAAUAGAUACAGCAACAUACUGGUUGUUGGUUGUGCAUUUCAGAUCGAAGCUAAAACCACCAAUUGGAUUGGCGAGGGAGCUUGUCAAUUUCCUGGCAGAAUUUUUCCAUUUACGAUGCGGAGAGCUGGAACAAAGGCUAUUCCUGCUUCCGGCUAAUUCAGAGACCAAUAAGCCAGACAAGACCAAAGGAAACUUGUGUGGCACGUCUCUGGUGCUGCCGCCACCACAGCACAGCCAUUAUUGUUCACACAGAUAUUCCA